CAGCAGCCGCGGUAAUACCGGCGGCCCGAGUGGCGGUCACUAUUAUUGGGCUUAAAGCGUCCGUAGCCGGGUUGGGAAGUCCUCCGGGAAAUCUGGCCGCUUAAAGGUCAGAAUGCCGGAGGAUACUCCCAGCCUAGGGAGCGGGAGAGGCCGAGGGGAUUCCCGGAGUAGGGGGGAAAUCCUAUAAUCCCGGGAGGACCACCUGUGGCGAAGGCGCUCGGCUGGAACGCGUCCGACGGUGAGGGACGAAGGCCAGGGGAGCAAACCGGAUUAGAUACCCGGGUAGUCCUGGCUGUAAACGAUGCGGACUUUGUGUCGGACAAGCUAUGAGCUUGUCCGGUGCCGGAGGGAAACCGUUAAGUCCGCCGCCUGGGGAGUACGGCCGCAAGGCUGAAACUUAAAGGAAUUGGCGGG
rnacentral:rRNA from 1 species